AUACGGGAGGCAGCAGUAGGGAAUUUUCGGCAAUGGGGGCAACCCUGACCGAGCAACGCCGCGUGAGUGAAGACGGCCUUCGGGUUGUAAAGCUCUGUUGUAAGGGAAGAACGGUAGAUAGAGAAUAUCUAAGUGACGGUACCUUACCAGAAAGCCACGGCUAACUACGUGCCAGCAGCCGCGGUAAUACGUAGGUGGCGAGCGUUAUCCGGAAUUAUUGGGCGUAAAGGGUGCGUAGGCGGCCUGUUAAGUAAGUGGUUAAAUUGUUGGGCUCAACCCAAUCCAGCCACUUAAACUGGCAGGCUAGAGUAUUGGAGAGGCAAGUGGAAUUCCAUGUGUAGCGGUAAAAUGCGUAGAUAUAUGGAGGAACACCAGUGGCGAAGGCGGCUUGCUAGCCAAAGACUGACGCUCAUGCACGAAAGCGUGGGGAGCAAAUAGGAUUAGAUACCCUAGUAGUCCACGCCGUAAACGAUGAAUACUAAGUAUUGGGGAAACUCAGUGCUGCAGCUAACGCAAUAAGUAUUCCGCCUGUGGAGUAUGCACGCAAGUGUGAAACAUAAAGGAAUUGACGGGGCCCGCACAAG
rnacentral:rRNA from 1 species